rnacentral:rRNA from 1 species
UACGUAGGGGGCUAGCGUUGUCCGGAAUUAUUGGGCGUAAAGAGCUCGUAGGCGGUUUGUUGCGUCGGCUGUGAAAUCCCGAGGCUCAACCUCGGGUCUGCAGUCGAUACGAGCAAACUAGAGUGUUGCAGGGGAGACUGGAAUUCCUGGUGUAGCGGUGGAAUGCGCAGAUAUCAGGAGGAACACCGGUGGCGAAGGCGGGUCUCUGGGCAGUAACUGACGCUGAGGAGCGAAAGCGUGGGGAGCGAACGGG